rnacentral:rRNA from 1 species
UACGGAGGGUGCAAACGUUGCUCGGAAUCAUUGGGCGUAAAGCGCACGUAGGCGGCUCGUUAAGUCGGAUGUGAAAGCCCUGGGCUCAACCCAGGAAGUGUAUACGAAACUGGCGAGCUUGAGUAUGGAAGAGGGUCGCGGAAUUCCCGGUGUAGAGGUGAAAUUCGUAGAUAUCGGGAGGAACACCAGUGGCGAAGGCGGCGACCUGGGCCAAUACUGACGCUGAGGUGCGAAAGCGUGGGGAGCAAACAGG